GACGAACGCUGGCGGCGUGCUUAACACAUGCAAGUCGAACGGAAAGGCCCUGCUUUUGUGGGGUGCUCGAGUGGCGAACGGGUGAGUAACACGUGAGUAACCUGCCCUUGACUUUGGGAUAACUUCAGGAAACUGGGGCUAAUACCGGAUAGGAGCUCCUGCUGCAUGGUGGGGGUUGGAAAGUUUCGGCGGUUGGGGAUGGACUCGCGGCUUAUCAGCUUGUUGGUGGGGUAAUGGCUUACCAAGGCUUUGACGGGUAGUCGGCCUGAGAGGGUGACCGGCCACAUUGGGACUGAGAUACGGCCCAGACUCCUACGGGAGGCAGCAGUGGGGAAUAUUGCACAAUGGGCGGAAGCCUGAUGCAGCAACGCCGCGUGCGGGAUGACGGCCUUCGGGUUGUAAACCGCUUUCGCCUGUGACGAAGCGUGAGUGACGGUAAUGGGUAAAGAAGCACCGGCUAACUACGUG
rnacentral:rRNA from 1 species